GACGAACGCUGGCGGCGUGCUUAACACAUGCAAGUCGAACGGAAAGGCCCUGCUUUUGUGCGGUGCUCGAGUGGCGAACGGGUGAGUAACACGUGAGUAACCUGCCCUUGACUUUGGGAUAACUUCAGGAAACUGGGUCUAAUACCGGAUAGGAGCUCCUGCUGCAUGGUGGGGGUUGGAAAGUUUCGGCGGUUGGGGAUGGACUCGCGGCUUAUCAGCUUGUUGGUGGGGUAGUGGCUUACCAAGGCCUUGACGGGUAGCCGGCCUGAGAGGGUGACCGGCCACAUUGGGACUGAGAUAGGGACCAGACUCCUACGGGAGGCAGCAGUGGGGAAUAUUGAACAAUGGGCGGAAGCCUGAUGCAGCAACGCCGCGUGCGGGAUGACGGCCUUCGGGUUGUAAACCGCUUUCGCCUGUGACGAAGCGUGAGUGACGGUAAUGGGUAAAGAAGCACCGGCUAACUACGUG
rnacentral:rRNA from 1 species